GAAGGGAGGGAUGCACUUUGGUUAGAGAUUUUCAUUUGGUGUCAAACACACCUAGUUGUAAACAAAUGGAAAUUGAAAGUAAAAGUGCAACGGCACGGUAUAUUUUUUCUGGCAUUUUUUGUUUUCCAAUAUCUCGAACUUUCACGACAAAAAGGUCAUUUGCCCGAAAUUCAAUAUAUGUAUCAGUGAGAGGGGCUAAAGUUUGUAUGGAAGUCUAUGGGAAAACAUUUGGUGGUGUUUGUCCUAUAGAAAAGCGAUGCAUUCUCAAGAAGGAAGAGAUUAAUGAACCCUACCCUCUUACAAUGAACAACACAUGGAUACUCUCGGGAUGAUCCCUUUGCUUUCAUUAAGAGUUCCAAGAUGUGGGUCUGAUUGACUGGGGUGUGAAAUGUAACAGCCAAUGGUGUACUUAAGGAAAAACCCCUACAUAAACAAAUACAUGGGCGCAGACACUUUGGACACCCAAAGUUGUGCGGAGGAGAAAAUGCUAGCUGGCGCGUGAUUGGUCAAUAAGAGAAAAGACUUGUUAUGUAUUUGACAAGUGAAAUAAAGUUGAUAAAAAUCUCA